rnacentral:rRNA from 1 species
UAAUACGUAGGGAGCAAGCGUUGUCCGGAAUUAUUGGGCGUAAAGAGCUCGUAGGCGGUUCGGUAAGUCGGGUGUGAAAAUCCAGGGCUCAACCCUGGGACGCCACCCGAUACUGCUGUGACUAGAGUCCGGUAGAGGAGCGUGGAAUUCCUGGUGUAGCGGUGAAAUGCGCAGAUAUCAGGAGGAACACCAGCGGCGAAGGCGGCGCUCUGGGCCGGUACUGACGCUGAGGAGCGAAAGCAUGGGGAGCAAACAGGAUUAGAUACCCUGGUAGUCCAUGCCGUAAACGUUGGGCACUAGGUAUGGGGUCUUAUCAACGGAUUCCGUGCCGUAGCUAACGCAUUAAGUGCCCCGCCUGGGGAGUACGGCCGCAAGGCUA